UGAGUGUUAUGAUGAUGGAAUAGCUUAGCUUUUCUUAGUCUAGCUCUGGUCUACCGCUGGGCGCAAGAUGCCCAGCGG
rfam:Streptococcus thermophilus LMD-9, complete genome.